rnacentral:sRNA from 1 species
GCGCCCGCAGCGGCCUCGCCAUGUCCCAGCCCGGCCAGAAGCCCGCUGCCUCCCCGCGGCCCCGGCGCGCAGCCGCCGCCCGCCGCACCCAGGAGCAUGUCAGUGAAAAAACCAGUGAAUCGCCUUCCAAACCAGGAGAAAAAAAAGGAUCAGAUGAGAAAAAAGCAGCAAGCCUCGGCAGCAGUCAAUCCUCCAGAACCUAUGCUGGUGGAACAGCCUCAGCCACCAAGGUGUCAGCUUCCUCUGGUGUGACAAGCAAGUCUUCCAGUAUGAAUCCCACAGAAACCAAGAUAAAAUAAAAUUAUACCUGGGGCUGUGCUCUUAUAUUAGGCCAUUCCAGUCAGCCAACAGAUGGAAGGACCACAUCUUCCUAACAAGAAAAAACACAAAAAACAG